CUCUUUCUCUCACUCGCUUCCUCUUUCCUCUUGUGCUCGCUCUCACUUCUGGUGUGAGUGAGCCUGCAGGGGACAGUCCAGCUGCAGCAUGGGGGCACAGAUGGGGCUGGGGCUGCAGCCCCCCCGACCUGAGACCUGACUAGGUUUAUCCUUACGGCCAAGGAAGGAGCCUGAGCCCCAGGUGCAUCCUGGAAGACCCUGCCCCCUGAUCCAACCCCGCCUCCCAAGGACGUGUUGGUGCAGACAGGACUGGACAGAACGGAAGCCAUGGCACAGCCCUGAACUGGACUACCCGACCCCACGGACAGUGGAGGACUGACCGGCUAUUCACCUGGUGUUAUGGACACUUGUAGAUAGAUUGCGCCGGCCCCACCAUGAGGGAAUCGGUUGGCACUGGACUGCUGCCCCCGGCCACCACUGCUGCCCCGUGGACACCCCUCCCCGCCCCCAGCCUGCAACUGUAUCCCCUCCUUCAAGACAAUGCCAUUUCCUUUCGUAUUCAAGGGUCAAACACUGCAUCAUGGGUGCCAAACCAGUCUCUUGCAACUCUAGGAGGCGAUGGAGGUGUGUGCAUGUAUGUGUGUCUGUUUCUUGUGUGAGAGCAAGGGCCGGGACAGGAGCAGGGUGAAAGGGGCUGCCCCUCUUUGGAUGGGUAAAGGUUUCUGGAAACUGGGGUCUAGAGUCCUGGGCCCGUACUCUGUGGACCUCAAGACCGGGCGUGAAGUCGUCCUGGGGCCCUUAAUUCUAUAGUCAGUGCGACUUCCUCCUGCUCUGGUCCAUUGGGAGUUAUCGGGCCUGCUCUGGCUUCAAGAGUACAGACUCUCUUUCCCGCCCAAGGGGGGUGACCCUGGGGGAGCGAGGGACAGGAGUAGUGGUGUGUGGGUGUGUGUGUGUCUAUCUGUAUGCACGUGUCACUACCCUAUGUCCUCCAUCCCUCCUGGAUGAGCACAAAGAGGUGGGGAGAGAACUAGCAGCAAAUUCUAAAGUGGGAAGAUGCAGAAUGGUUUCCCUCCCAUCCUACCAACAGAAAUGACAUGGUCUGGCCCCCUCCUCUCCUCCUCCCCUCUCUGUCCCCUUGGCUGCCUGGGCUCUGUAAGCCCAUCUACAUCUGUAUGGAAUAAAAUGGAUUUUUUUUGUC